UUGGUAGUGGCAUCAAUCCAGAGAG
rnacentral:piRNA from 1 species